rnacentral:rRNA from 1 species
UAACACCGGCGGCCCGAAUGGUGAUCGUGAUUAUUGGGUCUAAAGGGUCCGUAGCCGGUUUGGUCAGUCCUCCGGGAAAUCUGAUAGCUCAACUAUUAGGCUUUCGGGGGAUACUGCCAGACUUGGAACCGGGAGAGGUAAGAGGUACUACAGGGGUAGGAGUGAAAUCUUGUAAUCCCUGUGGGACCACCUGUGGCGAAGGCGUCUUACCAGAACGGGUUCGACGGUGAGGGACGAAAGCUGGGGGCAC